rnacentral:rRNA from 1 species
UCGUACGACGAGUUUGAUCAUGGCUCAGAUUGAACGCUGGCGGCAGGCCUAACACAUGCAAGUCGAGCGAGAAAGGUCUUCGGACUGAGUACAGCGGCGGACGGGUGAGUAAAGCGUAGGAAUCUACCUGGUAGUGGGGGAUAACUUGGGGAAACUCAAACUAAUACCGCAUACGCCCUACGGGGGAAAGCGGGGGACCUUCGGGCCUCGCGCUAUCAGAUGAGCCUGCGUAGGAUUAGCUAGUUGGUGAGGUAAAGGCUCACCAAGGCGACGAUCCUUAGCUGGUCUGAGAGGAUGAUCAGCCACACUGGGACUGAGACACGGCCCAGACUCCUACGGGAGGCAGCAGUGGGGAAUAUUGCGCAAUGGGCGAAAGCCUGACGCAGCCAUGCCGCGUGUGUGAAGAAGGCCUUAGGGUUGUAAAGCACUUUCAAUUGGGAAGAAAGUUGGUCGUUAAUAGCGGCCAGCCCUGACAUUACCUUUAGAAGAAGGACCGGCUAACUCCGUG